rnacentral:rRNA from 1 species
GAUGAACGCUGGCGGCGUGCCUAAUACAUGCAAGUCGAGCGAACGGACGAGAAGCUUGCUUCUCUGAUGUUAGCGGCGGACGGGUGAGUAACACGUGGAUAACCUACCUAUAAGACUGGGAUAACUUCGGGAAACCGGAGCUAAUACCGGAUGAUAUUUUGAACCGCAUGGUUCAAAAGUGAAAGACGGUCUUGCUGUCACUUAUAGAUGGAUCCGCGCUGCAUUAGCUAGUUGGUAAGGUAACGGCUUACCAAGGCAACGAUGCAUAGCCGACCUGAGAGGGUGGUCGGCCAGACGGGAACUGAGACAGGGUCCAGACUCCGACGGGAGGACGCAGUAGGGAAUCUUCCGCAAGGGGCGAAAGCCUGACGGAGCAACGCCGCGGGAGUGAUGAAGGUCUUCGGAUCGUAAAACUCUGUUAUUAGGGAAGAACAUAUGUGUAAGUAACUGUGCACAUCUUGACGGUACCUAAUCAGAAAGCCACGGCUAACUACGUG